CACACCCUACGGGGGGCAGCAGUGAGGAAUAUUGCACAAUGGGGGAAACCCUGAUGCAGCGACGCCGCGUGAGUGAAGAAGUAUUUCGGUACGUAAAGCUCUAUCAGCAGGGAAGAAAAUGACGGUACCUGACUAAGAAGCCCCGGCUAACUACGUGCCAGCAGCCGCGGUAAUACGUAGGGGGCAAGCGUUAUCCGGAUUUAUUGGGUUUAAAGGGUGCGCAGGCGGAAUGUCAAGUCAGCGGUAAAAUUUCGGGGCUCAACCCCGUCGUGCCGUUGAAACUGGCGUUCUUGAGUGAGCGAGAA
rnacentral:rRNA from 1 species